rnacentral:lncRNA from 1 species
ACAAGUAGUAGAGACUUCUCCUUAACGGGCAGCAACUUUCACGCACUCAGCACUCUCCUGAGGCAGUUUUGCAAACAAGUUAACAAUACCCUUUUCUGACCGCUCAGACCAUCUUUAAGACAGAGCCUGUUUUGAAUGAACAGUGUACAGAAUGUACAGUAUGCCACCAGGCUUUGGCGGUCCCCAGGGAAAGAUAAAGGAAGAUGUGUCCAAGAGGAGCCUUCCUCUUUCUCUUUCUCUUUCCCCUUUUUUCUUCUCUCUCUGGCUCUUUGUGUCUCUCUCUCUCUCUCAUUUCAUUUCUCCUUUCUCUCUUUCAUCUCUCUUUCUUUCUCUCUUUUCUCCAUCCUUUCCUCUCUUUUCCUAUUUCUUCCUCCCUCUCUCAAAUUCUGUCUUUUAUCUCGCUCAUUUCUUUCUCCCUUUCCUCUUUCUCAUUUCUUCUUUCUCGCUUUCCUCAUUUUCCAUUUUCCCUUCCUCUCUCUUUUCCUUUUUCUCUCUUCCUCCCUCUCUCGCAUUCUGUCUUUUCUUUUCUCUCUCUCAUUUCUUUCUCCCUUUCCUCUUUCUCAUUUCUUCUUUCUCGCUUUCCUCAUUUUCCUUUUUCCCUUCCUCUCUCUUUUCCUUUUUCUCUCUUCCUCCCUCUCUCGCAUUCUGUCUUUUCUUUUCUCUCUCUCCUCUCUCUCAUUUCUUUCUCCCUUUCCUCUUUCUCAUUUCUUCUUUCUCGCUUUCCUCAUUUUCCUUUUUCCUUUCCUCUCUCUUUUCCUUUUUCUCUCUUCCUCCCUCUCUCGCAUUCUGUCUUUUCUUUUCUCUCUCUCAUUUCUUUCUCCCUUUCCUCUUUCUCAUUUCUUCUUUCUCGCUUUCCUCAUUUUCCUUUUUCCUUUCCUCUCUCUUUUCCUUUUUCUCUC